GACGAACGCUGGCGGCGUGCCUAACACAUGCAAGUCGAACGGAAAGGCCCUGCUCUUGUGGGGCGCUCGAGUGGCGAAGGGGUGAGUAACACAUGAGUAUACUGUCCCUGACUUUGGGAUAUCUCUAGGAAACUCGGGCUAAUAUAGCAGAGAAUCUCCUGAACCGUGGUGGGGGAUGGUAAGUUUCGGCGGUUGUGGCUGUACUGGCGGCAUAACAGCUUCCUAGGGGGGUAGUGGCUUACCAAGGCUUUGACGGGUAGGCGGCCUGAGGGGGUGACCGGCGACACUGGGACUGAGGUACGGCACAGGCUGCUAAGGGAGGGAGCAGGGCGGAAUCUUGCACAAUGGGCGCAACGCGGAUGAAGAAGCGCUGCGUGUGGGAAAACGGCGUUAGGGGGGUAAACCACUUGCGCCUGUGACGAAGCGUGAGUGGCGGUAACGGAUAAAGAAGGACCGGCUAACUACGUG
rnacentral:rRNA from 1 species